ACGAACGCUGGCGGCGUGCUUAACACAUGCAAGUCGAGCGGUAAGGCCUUUCGGGGUACACGAGCGGCGAACGGGUGAGUAACACGUGGGUGAUCUGCCCUGCACUUCGGGAUAAGCCUGGGAAACUGGGUCUAAUACCGGAUAUGACCUCCUAUCGCAUGGUGGGUGGUGGAAAGAUUUAUCGGUGCGGGAUGGGCCCGCGGCCUAUCAGCUUGUUGGUGGGGUAAUGGCCUACCAAGGCGACGACGGGUAGCCGACCUGAGAAGGUGACCGGCCACACUGGGACUGAGACACGGCCCAGACUCCUACGGGAGGCAGCAGUGGGGAAUAUUGCACAAUGGGCGAAAGCCUGAUGCAGCGACGCCGCGUGAGGGAUGACGGCCUUCGGGUUGUAAACCUCUUUCAGCAGGGACGAAGCGCAAGUGACGGUACCUGCAGAAGAAGCACCGGCUAACUACGUG
rnacentral:rRNA from 1 species